AAAUUGCAGUACAUGCAUUCAUGCAAAAACCCCAAAAGGGGGUUCCCUAUCAUCGCCAAUAAGAACCUCAUGUCUUAUUUCUCUAUCACAAAAAACGACCUUUGUCAAGUAACACAAAUAUAUGUGAACAAAAAAUAAGUCAAAAAGAUAACCGAAUCUAACAACCACUAUCCAAUUUGGCUUUUGACAAGUAUUUAGGCAUCAUCAGAUUUUUCGCUGCCAGGUGUUCCGGCAAGCCAGCCCCAUACGCCUCCUGAGCCCUGCUUUCUAGCAUUCAGGGCUGCUUGUUCA
rnacentral:lncRNA from 1 species